CUGCGAACACCCUAUUUAUCGAUCCUUUUCCAUAGGUUCAAAUGGCAUAACAAUCGAUGUAUCGCAAGCACGCCACGCCACUGAUGGAUCCUUGCUCACUGUGCGGGCUCAUGGGAAAGCGCAACUUGAACAUCCACGCAACUGGAUUCGCCGGAGCCCGGGCUCCGCCGCGAAGCGUGAGUUUUGAUCAGUCGCGCGGAAUCUCCACAGACUACACGUGUGCGCUCGUCUGGCUUUUCACAUCAAGUACCCGCUACGUAACUCGAAGUCCCCCCCAAAAAGGGAUUCGCGCGUGGGUUCCAUUUGAAGUGAUUUAGUCUCUACGCUCCUUCAGUUUCUAAGCAUUUGUCCAAUUAAGGGAAAUUUUGAGAGCAGAAGUCCCUUUGAAAAUGGUCCUUGUGCUUUGCGCGGAGAGAAGUUUUGAGGAUCAACCAGUGAAGAUUUUUCAGCGCCAGACCUUAGUUUAUCCUAUCCACGUUCUUUUUUUGAGUUUAUCAGUUUAAUUCGUUCGGUUUGUGCGACUACUAAGGUGUUUAAAGUGCGAUUGGUCUACCAGACGCAUUUUCUGGUCAGUUAGUCUGUUCUGUUGGAGGGCAUCAUUGGAUAAUCAAAAUUUCUGACGGCCAAGAGACUUGGAUACCAGACGGAGCAAUUGGAUUUUCGAACGGGUGGCCGAUGAAGUGGAAGCGUGGCAGGGGGCGGUGAUGUCGACGCUGAGUCAGCGACUGGCCGAGGACUCGCGGCUCCUCCAACUGGCCAAGUCCACGACGCCGCGGGACUCGAGGACGCGCCAAGGGAAUGGACUCGUCAAGCCGCCGCGAAAGAAGACGACCCCCAUCCAAACCCAGGCCUCGGGCAAGUCUAACCCGACGACCCCGGCCAAGUCGGCCAAGAGGGUCGUCUCCAUUGAGGAGCUCGUCCGCAACGACCCGAGCUACACCCCGCGCAUCGAGCACCUCGUCUUCGCCGCGUCUCCACCCGCACCCGCGCCCGGCGCCAACGCCAACGCCAAGAAGACGGAGAACAAGCGGCUCGCCGCCCCCCAGAAGAAGGAGCGGAUCUGGAGCUCCGUCGAGGAUACCCGGGCUCCGGAUCCGCCCUGCACCUGCGACCCCGCCAAAAUUCGAAGACGAGUCAAGGCGCAAGAGUCAGAAGGCAAAGCUUCCCCGGGAGUGAACGGACAUGCAGCGGUGGCGGCCAUGUCGGGAGCGAAUCCGCGAGGCAUCGACCGGGACCGAGCCACCGGACUGGCUCCAGCCUCCCAAGAGAAGAACCACCGACCAGUCGCCUUCCAGCAGCCCAAAGACCUAGUCAUGUCGUCGGCUAGGGGGCCUAACGUGUCGGUGCUGCACCUGCGAAGCACCUCGGAGCCGUGGGAAUCCUGCUUCCCGCGCAACGCAGCCCCGUCGCGGAACUCGCGGCUCUCGCAGAUGAACAGCGCGUGCACGGUCCCAUCGGCGACGCUCCUCAAGAACGCCAUGGCCACGAGCAACCUCGCGCGCCGCAAGUCCGCCGGCCUCUUCGCCUCGGGCGUCGCCGGCGAGGCCAAAGAAAACGGCUGCUCCCGCGAGCUGUCCCCGGUCCGCUGGUGCGACCAGGAGGUCGACGGCGUCUUCCUCGGCCGCUCCGGCUGGGUCCAAGUCCAACAGAAGUCCCUCGACAGGACCCCGCAGAAACCCCAAGAACCCCCCACGCCGCCCUCCAGAAACCUCACCCACUCCCACUCCCUCCGCUACCCCCUGGACUCAACCCCCGACCCCCUGGAGAUCCUCAACAGGCCCGGCUACCAGUUCACCUCCAGCCAGAGGGUCAUGCAGGUGUCGCAGCUCAAGACCUCCAAGUCGGAAGACAGCACCGCCAUCAUCUCCCCGCCGCCGGCGUUCCAGGACCACAACCAGCGUUUCGACACCGGCAACCGCCCGAAGACGCUCGCCUCCCGCUCUUUCAACUUCACGAGGAGCGACGCCGUGGAGGGUAGCCCGCCCGCGUCGCCUCCCUUUCACAGGAGCUGGAGCGCCUCGCCGCACACCCCGCAGGGACCGCGCCGAAGGUUAACGCCCUCUCCGGGAGCGAAGAUCCCCCAUACUAGGUCUUUCGACGACGCCACCAAGACCUCCAGCCGCCGCACCCAAUACCACAAGUACUCCUCGUCAUCUUCCUCGUCUUCGGCCGGGUUCCGGAGCUUCGACAGCACGCUCAACCGCACCAUGCCGAAGCUCUGCGAGACGGACUCCUCGGUGUACGACGAUGGCGACGAAGACGACAACAAUAGUUCCUUGAACCUAAGUGCACAUUCGACGAUGACGGUGAUCAACUCGUCGCCGGACUCGUGCGCCGAGACGAAGAAGCGAGAGAAGUACCGUCGGGCGAAGAAGGCCGAGAACUUCUGCACGUCGCCGUCGUCGUCGUCGUCGAGCGACUACUCGCCGGCGUCCGCGGCGCCGUUCCGCCGCUCGGUGAGCCACAACUCCCACUACCUCAACUCCUCCAAGGACUCCCUGGUCUCGCAUCAUUCCAGCGACUCCGUGUCGCGCAGCAACAAGGUGAAGCGCUCCCGGAGCCUCCAGCUCGCCGCCGACCGGGUCCCGCCCCCGGGGUUCCGGGGGCGGCCCCCGCCGUGCCGCCCCGCAACAGUGAGGACCCGCCCCGCGCCUGCC
rnacentral:lncRNA from 1 species